CCUCAGCUUGAUUCAGUGCUAAUCCAAAAUAUGGUACAAUGCUGAAGAAAUGAGGAAAGGGUCGUGCUGGGGGUGUCCCUCACAGCUGACUUGAGCAGAGCAAACACGGUGUUGGGUUGCAUGGCUUCCACCUCUGCACUCAGUGUGGAAUUUGGGAGCUCUGUGGGACACCCAGUGCUGCUUGUUAGCCUGGCCUCACAUCUCAGCAGCAGCCUGGCCAAACCCCUGCUCUUCGUGCCUCUGCUGUGCCCCAGACACCACAGGCACAAGUAAUUUUGGGAAUGCCUGAAGGCUCCAGCUGAGUUUGGAGACCCCAUGUGCUAAGUGCAUAAUCAGACUUGCCUGGAAGGACUUGCAAUAG